rnacentral:rRNA from 1 species
GAGUUUGAUCAUGGCUCAGAUUGAACGCUGGCGGCAUGCCUUACACAUGCAAGUCGAACGGCAGCAUGAUCUAGCUUGCUAGAUUGAUGGCGAGUGGCGAACGGGUGAGUAAUACAUCGGAACGUGCCCUGUAGUGGGGAUAACUAGUCGAAAGAUUAGCUAAUACCGCAUACGACCUGAGGGUGAAAGUGGGGACCGCAAGGCCUCAUGCUAUAGGAGCGGCCGAUGUCUGAUUAGCUAGUUGGUGGGGUAAAGGCCCACCAAGGCGACGAUCAGUAGCUGGUCUGAGAGGACGAUCAGCCACACUGGGACUGAGACACGGCCCAGACUCCUACGGGAGGCAGCAGUGGGGAAUUUUGGACAAUGGGCGAAAGCCUGAUCCAGCAAUGCCGCGUGUGUGAAGAAGG